rnacentral:rRNA from 1 species
GUUGUAUGGUUAAGUGACUAAGCGUACACGGUGGAUGCCUUGGCAGUCAGAGGCGAUGAAAGACGUAGUAACUUGCGAUAAGCCCAGAUUAGGUAGUAACAACCAUUUGAGUCUGGAUUUCUGAAUGGGGAAACCCACGUGCAUAAGCACGUAUCCUUACCUGAAUACAUAGGGUAAGGAGGCGAACCGGGGGAACUGAAACAUCUAAGUACCCCGAGGAAAAGAAAUCAACCGAGAUUCCGAAAGUAGCGGCGAGCGAAAUUGGACUAGCCCUUAAGCUUUACACGCGUUAGACGAACGGUCUGGAAAGUCCGACGAUACAGGGUGAUAGUCCCGUAGUUGACGACGUGUGUUCAGUGAAAUCGAGUAGGGCGGGACACGUGAUAUCCUGUCUGAAUAUGGGGGGACCAUCCUCCAAGGCUAAAUACUACUGACUGACCGAUAGUGAACCAGUACCGUGAGGAAAGGCGAAAAAAGAACCCCUGUGAGGGGAGUGAAAUAGAACCUGAACCGUGUACGUACAAGCAGUAGGAGCACCUUCGUGGUGUGACUGCGUACCUUUUGUAUAAUGGGUCAGCGACUUAUAUUCAGUGGCAAGGUUAAACCAUCUAGGGGAGCCGUAGGGAAACCGAGUCUUAACUGGGCGUUCAGUCUCUGGAUAUAGACCCGAAACCAGGUGAUCUAGCCAUGGGCAGGUUGAAGGUUGAGUAACAUCAACUGGAGGACCGAACCGACUAAUGUUGAAAAAUUAGCGGAUGACUUGUGGCUAGGGGUGAAAGGCCAAUCAAACCUGGAGAUAGCUGGUUCUCCCCGAAAGCUAUUUAGGUAGCGCCUCGGACGAAUACUACUGGGGGUAGAGCACUGUUAAGGCUAGGGGGUCAUCCCGACUUACCAACCCUUUGCAAACUCCGAAUACCAGUAAGUACUAUCCGGGAGACACACGGCGGGUGCUAACGUCCGUCGUGGAGAGGGAAACAACCCAGACCGCCAGCUAAGGUCCCAAAUUACUACUAAGUGGGAAACGAUGUGGGAAGGCUCAGACAGCCAGGAUGUUGGCUUAAAGCAGCCAUCAUUUAAAGAAAGCGUAAUAGCUCACUGGUCGAGUCGGCCUGCGCGGA